rnacentral:tRNA from 1 species
GAGGGUAUAGCUCGGUGCAGAGUGCAUGUUUAGCAUGCAUCAAGUCCUGGUUUCAAUCCCCAGUACCUCCA